UACGUAGGUGGCAAGCGUUGUCCGGAAUGACUGGGCGUAAAGGGAGCGUAGGCGGUCUGUCAAGUUAGGAGUGAAAUCCUUGGGCUCAACCCAAGAACUGCUCUUAAGACUGAUGGACUUGAGUGAUGGAGAGGUAAGUGGAAUUCCUAGUGUAGCGGUAGAAUGCGUAGAUAUUAGGAGGAACACCAGAGGCGAAGGCGACUUACUGGACAUUAACUGACGCUGAUGCUCGAAAGCGUGGGGAGCAAACAGG
rnacentral:rRNA from 1 species